rnacentral:rRNA from 1 species
GAUGAACGCUGGCGGCGUGCCUAAUACAUGCAAGUCGAGCGAACGGACGAGAAGCUUGCUUUUCUGAUGUUAGCGGCGGACGGGUGGGUAACACGUGGAUAACCUACCUAUAAGACUGGGAUAACUUCGGGAAACCGGAGCUAAUACCGGAUAAUAUUUUGAACCGCAUGGUUCAAAAGUGAAAGACGGUCUUGCUGUCACUUAUAGAUGGAUCCGCGCUGCAUUAGCUAGUUGGUAAGGUAACGGCUUACCAAGGCAACGAUGCAUAGCCGACCUGAGAGGGUGGUCGGCCACACUGGAACUGAGACACGGUCCAGACUCCUAUGGGAGGCAGCAGUAGGGAAUCUUCCGCAAUGGGCGAAAGCCUGACGGAGCAACGCCGCGUGAGUGAUGAAGGUCUUCGGAUCGUAAAACUCUGUUAUUAGGGAAGAACAUAUGUGUAAGUAACUGUGCACAUCUUGACGGUACCUAAUCAGAAAGCCACGGCUAACUACGUG